GAGCGAGUGGCGAACUGGUGAGUAACACGUGGGUAACCUGCCCCGAAGCGGGGGAUAACAUUUGGAAACAAGUGCUAAUACCGCAUAAUUAGUUGGAACCGCAUGGUUCCAACUUGAAAGAUGGCUCUGCUAUCACUUUGGGAUGGACCCGCGCCGUAUUAGUUAGUUGGUGAGAUAAAAGCCCACCAAGACGAUGAUACGUAGCCGACCUGAGAGGGUAAUCGGCCACAUUGGGACUGAGACACGGCCCAGACUCCUACGGGAGGCAGCAGUAGGGAAUCUUCCACAAUGGACGAAAGUCUGAUGGAGCAACGCCGCGUGAGUGAUGAAGGUUUUCGGAUCGUAAAACUCUGUUGUUAAAGAAGAACAAGUGUUAGAGUAACUGUUAACACUUUGACGGUAUUUAACCAGAAAGCCACGGCUAACUACGUGCCAGCAGCCGCGGUAAUACGUAGGUGGCAAGCGUUGUCCGGAUUUAUUGGGCGUAAAGCGAGCGCAGGCGGUUUUGUAAGUCUGCUGUGAAAGCCCUCAGCUCAACUGAGGAAGUGCAGUGGAAACUACAAAACUUGAGUACAGAAGAGGAAAGUGGAACUCCAUGUGUAGCGGUGAAAUGCGUAGAUAUAUGGAAGAACACCAGUGGCGAAGGCGGCUUUCUGGUCUGUUACUGACGCUGAGGCUCGAAAGCAUGGGUAGCGAACAGGAUUAGAUACCCUGGUAGUCCAUGCCGUAAACGAUGAAUACUAGGUGUUGGAGGGUUUCCGCCCUUCAGUGCCGCAGCUAACGCAUUAAGUAUUCCGCCUGGGGAGUACGACCGCAAGGUUGAAACUCAAAGGAAUUGACGGGGGCCCGCACAAGUGGUGGAGCAUGUGGUUUAAUUCGAUGCUACGCGAAGAACCUUACCAGCUCUUGACAUCUUCUGCCAACCCAAGAGAUUGGGCGUUCCCUUCGGGGACAGAAUGACAGGUGGUGCAUGGUUGUCGUCAGCUCGUGUCGUGAGAUGUUGGGUUAAGUCCCGCAACGAGCGCAACCCUUAUUAUUAGUUGCCAGCAUUUAGUUGGGCACUCUAGUGAGACUGCCGGUGAUAAACCGGAGGAAGGUGGGGACGACGUCAAAUCAUCAUGCCCCUUAUGAGCUGGGCUACACACGUGCUACAAUGGAUGGUACAACGAGUCGCGAAACCGCGAGGUCAAGCUAAUCUCUUAAAGCCAUUCUCAGUUCGGAUUGCAGGCUGCAACUCGCCUGCAUGAAGUUGGAAUCACUAGUAAUCGUGGAUCAGCAUGCCACGGUGAAUACGUUCCCGGGCCUUG
rnacentral:rRNA from 2 species